rnacentral:rRNA from 1 species
GACGUAGGGCGCGAGCGUUGUCCGGAUUUAUUGGGCGUAAAGAGCUCGUAGGCGGCUUGUCGCGUCGACUGUGAAAUCCCGCGGCUCAACUGCGGGUCUGCAGUCGAUACGGGCAGGCUAGAGUUCGGUAGGGGAGACUGGAAUUCCUGGUGUAGCGGUGGAAUGCGCAGAUAUCAGGAGGAACACCGAUGGCGAAGGCAGAUCUCUGGGCCGUAACUGACGCUGAGGAGCGAAAGCGUGGGGAGCGAACAGG